rnacentral:rRNA from 1 species
UACGUAGGGGGCAAGCGUUGUCCGGAUUUAUUGGGCGUAAAGAGCGUGUAGGCGGUUAGGUAGGUCCGUUGUGAAAACUCGAGGCUCAACCUCGAGACGCCGAUGGAAACCAUCUAACUAGAGUCCGGAAGAGGAGAAUGGAAUUCCUGGUGUAGCGGUGAAAUGCGCAGAUAUCAGGAGGAACACCGGUGGCGAAGGCGGGUCUCUGGGCCGAUACUGACGCUGAGGAGCGAAAGCGUGGGGAGCAAACAGG